rnacentral:rRNA from 1 species
UCCACGCUGUAAACGAUGAGUACUAGCUGUUGGAUUCGGUGUAAAGGAUCUAGUGGCGCAGCUAACGCGUUAAGUACUCCGCCUGGGGACUACGGUCGCAAGACUAAAACUCAAAGGAAUUGACGGGGACCCGCACAAGCGGUGGAGCAUGUGGUUUAAUUCGACGCAACGCGAAGAACCUUACCUGCCCUUGACAUCUAGCGAACUUUCCAGAGAUGGAUCGGUGCCUUCGGGAACGCUAAGACAGGUGCUGCAUGGCUGUCGUCAGCUCGUGUUGUGAAAUGUUGGGUUAAGUCCCG